rnacentral:rRNA from 1 species
AGUGAACGCUGGCGGUAGGCCUAACACAUGCAAGUCGGACGGCAGCACAGUAAGAGCUUGCUCUUACGGGUGGCGAGUGGCGGACGGGUGAGGAAUACAUCGGAGUCUACUUUUUCGUGGGGGAUAACGUAGGGAAACUUACGCUAAUACCGCAUACGACCUACGGGUGAAAGCAGGGGAUCUUCGGACCUUGCGCGAUUGAAUGAGCCGAUGUCGGAUUAGCUAGUUGGCGGGGUAAGGGCCCACCAAGGCGACGAUCCGUAGCUGGUCUGAGAGGAUGAUCAGCCACACUGGAACUGAGACACGGUCCAGACUCCUACGGGAGGCAGCAGUGGGGAAUAUUGGACAAUGGGCGCAAGCCUGAUCCAGCCAUACCGCGUGGGUGAAGAAGGCCUUCGGGUUGUAAAGCCCUUUUGUUGGGAAAGAAAAGCAGCAGGUUAAUACCCCGCUGUUCUGACGGUACCCAAAGAAUAAGCACCGGCUAACUUCGUG